rnacentral:rRNA from 1 species
GAUGAACGCUAGCGGCAGGCCUAAUACAUGCAAGUCGAACGGUGUCUUCGGACAUAGUGGCGCACGGGUGCGUAACACGUAUGCAACCUACCUUACAUUGGGGGAUAGCCUUUCGAAAGGGAGAUUAAUACCGCAUAAGACAGUAACUAGGCAUCUAGUAGCUGUUAAAGAUUUAUCGAUGUAAGCUGGGCAUGCGUCCAAUUAGCUAGUUGGUGAGGUAACGGCUCACCAAGGCUAUGAUUGGUAGGGGAACUGAGAGGUCAAUCCCCCACACUGGCACUGAGAUACGGGCCAGACUCCUACGGGAGGCAGCAGUAGGGAAUAUUGGGCAAUGGACGCAAGUCUGACCCAGCCAUGCCGCGUGCAGGAUGAAGGCGUUAUGCGUUGUAAACUGCUUUUAUACAGGAAGAAACGACUCUUGCGAGAGGCAUUGACGGUACUGUAUGAAUAAGCACCGGCUAACUCCGUGCCAGCAGCCGCGGUAAUACGGAGGGUGCAAGCGUUGUCCGGAUUUAUUGGGUUUAAAGGGUGCGCAGGUGGUUUAUUAAGUCAGUGGUGAAAGACGGUCGCUCAACGAUUGCAGUGCCAUUGAAACUGGUAGACUUGAGUAAAGUAGAGGUGGGCGGAAUUGAUAGUGUAGCGGUGAAAUGCAUAGAUAUUAUCAAGAACUCCAAUUGCGUAGGCAGCUCACUUGGCUUUU